GUGUUCAUUAAAAAAAAGUCACAGAGACACCUUCAACAUGGAGCAAAGCUGUAGACACAUUUGCAAGUGUAAGAACGUCUCUACAUCAGUUUUGAUUGGACAUAACCUACAUCUAUGCAUUGAAGUACACUGUUGCCAGGCAAUAUCAACAAAUGACAGGAGGAGAAAGACACUUUUUAAACUCAUGAUGAUAGCUGACAAAUGUA
rnacentral:lncRNA from 1 species